rnacentral:rRNA from 1 species
AUUGAACGCUGGCGGCAGGCCUAACACAUGCAAGUCGAGCGGAUGACGGGAGCUUGCUCCUUGAUUCAGCGGCGGACGGGUGAGUAAUGCCUAGGAAUCUGCCUGGUAGUGGGGGACAACGUUUCGAAAGGAACGCUAAUACCGCAUACGUCCUACGGGAGAAAGCAGGGGACCUUCGGGCCUUGCGCUAUCAGAUGAGCCUAGGUCGGAUUAGCUAGUAGGUGAGGUAAUGGCUCACCUAGGCGACGAUCCGUAACUGGCCUGAGAGGAUGAUCAGUCACACUGGAACUGGGACACGGUCCAGACUCCUACGGGAGGCAGCAGUGGGGAAUAUUGGACAAUGGGCGAAAGCCUGAUCCAGCCAUGCCGCGUGUGUGAAGAAGGUCUUCGGAUUGUAAAGCACUUUAAGUUGGGAGGAAGGGUUGUACGUUAAUACCGUGCAAUUUUGACGUUACCGACAGAAUAAGCACCGGCUAACUCUGUGCCAGCAGCCGCAGUAAAAC